ACUGCUAGUCAGAAGUGGUGCAGGGCCCUUCUGGGAGCCAGGUUGCAGGCUUGGCUUUGCCCAGAAGCUGGAUCCUUUGUUUUCAUUUGCUGUCCUGCGGAUUCUGCUACAGGGAGCUAUGAGGAGGCCAUGGGUGAACAUGAAGGCCACGACAUGCUAGUUUUGCUGGGUAGCUUCUCUGGAGUUCAUCUAUGUAGACCAGACUGUUCUCACACUUGGUAAUACUGCUACCUUCCAAGAGCUGAGAUUACAGUUGAGCACUGCUACAUACAUCUGUUUGGCAGAGUCAGAAACCCAGUGAAGAGACUGUGAGAGGUCAUCGCAUGAAGCUGUGAAGAUUACGCCAGUGUUGUAUUUUGAGAUGGUAAGAUAUUGAAAUGCCCAAGCUAUAAGACGUCUGCCAUGGGGAGCUGUAUACAGUGAGUGGAAGUAGCAAAGGAAAAACAUGUAUGAAAAAUUUCAGGGGUAGAGUUAUUUAAGCCCUUUGGGAAUGAAAACUAAACUGUCGGAAAAAGAGCUAUAAGAUUUGGUAAUUCUUGCUCAGAUUUAGUUUUGCCAUGGUCCAAUCUUCCCCCACUGUCCACAAUGUGUCCACAUUGCUUUCUUUUUUAAAAUUUUUAAAUUUUUUAAAAAAAUGUAUUUUUCUCUCAUACAAUAUAUUCCAACUACUAUUUUCCUCCCUUCACUCCUCCCAGUCCUCUCCACUGUUCCCCUCUCCACCAGAUCCACUCCUUCAUUUCCCUUCAGAAAAGAGCAGGCCUCCCAGAAAAAUGUACAUAACAAGUUAAAAUAAAACUAGACACAAACCCACAUGCCAAUGCUGGAUGAAACAACCUAGUAGGAGGGAAAGGGUUCUGAGAUCAGGCAAAAGAGUCAGAGACACCCCUCCACUCACACUUAUAGGAGUCUCACAAAAACACCAACCUACACAACAAUAACUUAUAUGCAGAGAAACUUGUUGCUGGAGGGCUUUUCUCCAGGUUCCCCAAGCCCCGCAGUCCCACAAU